GAUGAACGCUGGCGGCGUGCCUAAUACAUGCAAGUCGAGCGAACAGACGAGGAGCUUGCUCCUUUGAUGUUAGCGGCGGACGGGUGAGUAACACGUAGGUAACCUACCUAUAAGACUGGGAUAACUUCGGGAAACCGGAGCUAAUACCGGAUAAUAUUUCGAACCGCAUGGUUCGAUAGUGAAAGAUGGCUUUGCUAUCACUUAUAGAUGGACCUGCGCCGUAUUAGCUAGUUGGUAAGGUAACGGCUUACCAAGGCAACGAUACGUAGCCGACCUGAGAGGGGGAUCGGCCACACUGGAACUGAGACACGGUCCAGACUCCUAGGGGAGGCAGCAGUAGGGAAUCUUCCGAAAUGGGCGAAAGCCUGACGGAGCAACGCCGCGUGAGUGAUGAAGGUCUUCGGAUCGUAAAACUCUGUUAUUAGGGAAGAACAAACGUGUAAGUAACUGUGCCCGUCUUGACGGUACCUAAUCAGAAAGCAACGGCUAACUACGU
rnacentral:rRNA from 1 species